GAAAUGCGAUAAAUAAUGUGAAUUGCAGAAUUCAGUGAAUCAUCGAGUCUUUGAACGCACAUUGCGCCCCCUGGUAUUCCGGGGGGCAUGCCUGUCCGAGCGUCAUUGCUGCAAUCAAGCCCGGCUUGAGUGUUGAGCCCUCGUCCCCUCACGGGGACAGGCUCGAAAGGCAAUGGCAGUACCGCGUCCGGUCCUCCAGUGUUUGGGGCUUUGUCACCCACUGUGUAGUUCCGGCCGGCGCUCCGCCGACCAACCAAAAUCUAUUUUUCAGGUUGACCUCGGAUCAGGUAGGGAUACCCGCUGAACUUAA
rnacentral:misc_RNA from 1 species